AAAAUUUCAAACAAAUUGGGACGGAGGAGUAUAAGGCAGUUAAGAGUGAACAAUUUAGCCAAACACCAUCGGUAACCAUUUGACCUGACCAUACUCCCAAUCAUCAGUUGAGUGUAGCGUUUGAGUUGACUCACAGCAAAAUGGCGGGGAUUGGGACACUCCAAAUUCUAUUCCUCAACCCUCCAACCAACGCAAAUUCACUGUCCCGCUGCGGGCGUACGAACCACUUCCCAUUUUGCUCUUCGAAAAUUAGCAACAGGUGGCGUCUUGUUUCGAAACUCAGUUUAUCUGUUAGAGCCACUUCACAACAACAUUCUAACAAGGGAAAUGGUAGUGGAGACCAUCUUCCACGGGCUACUGCAAAGACCUCUAAUUGGGUAAAACCAAUUUCGAGUUUUGUAUCCAACAAUUUUCUGCCUUUAGCUUUAAUUGGUGGAGUAGCAUUAGGGUUUGCUAAUCCUGCACUUGGUUGUCUUGCUGAUAGAUAUUACCUGUCCAAAAUUAGUACCUUUGGCAUAUUUAUAGUCUCAGGGCUCACAUUGCGUAGUGAUGAAGUAGGUGCUGCUGCUGAAGCUUGGCCUGUUGGGCUUUUUGGUCUUGUUUCUAUUUUGUUCUUCACUCCUCUUUUUUCCAAGAUUAUUUUGCUGCUAAAGCUUCAACCUCAAGAAUUUGUGACAGGGUUGGCCAUAUUUAGCUGUAUGCCCACAACACUAUCUAGUGCAGUGGCACUAACUCGGUUAGCUGGAGGAAACUCUGCUCUUGCUCUGGCGACGACUUUAAUAUCAAACCUUCUAGGAAUUGUGAUUGUACCUUUUACGAUCUCCAAGCUCAUAGCUGCCGGGGUUGGUGUGUCUGUCCCAGCUGAGCAGUUGUUCAGAAGCCUUGUUCUCACACUUCUAGUUCCUCUUAUCAUAGGGAAGGUUUUACGAGAAUGUUUCAAGGGCGUGGCUGAGUUUUCUGAUGGAAAUCGUAAGCUUUUAUCAAUGAUGAGUGCUCUCCUCCUAAGUUUAGCCCCUUUUAUACAAGUGAGCAGAUCGAGGUCGCUGCUUUUAUUGGUUAAGCCAGCAGUAUUUCUUCUGGCUGUUGUGUUAGGAGUGCUUCUGCAUCUCAUCCUCUUGGCUUUUAAUGCUCUGGCAAUACCAUUACUCUCCGCUAUUUCAGGGGGUAGUGAAUCAUCUUUUUCAAAGAAGCAAAAUACUAGUGCUCUUUUACUUGUUGCGAGCCAGCGCCCUAAUUUCCUUCAUUUUGUUACAAGAAAACUCUGCCUGUAAUGGUAGCAGUAGUGGAACAGCUUGGUGGUGCUCUUGGUGAAUCUGGUUUACUGGUUCUUCCAUGCAUAGCGGCACAUUUGAACCAGAUUAUAUUGGACUCUUUUUUGGUGAGCGUUUGGUUUCAAAAAAAGCAUGAUUUGAAGACUGCUUAAAAUCAUCUGGAGUUCCUAGAUGGUUUGUGCUGCACAUUGAAAUAUUUUGCUGCUUUCAGGAAGGAAUAGUUCACAUUGUCAGUCGAUGAUUAUUCAAGCUGAAAGUAAAGUUUUUCUUUUUUCACCACAUUAGCGAACAGUAGGGGUGUACAUGGAUCGGGUUGGUUCGGAAAUUUUAAACACCAAACUAAAUCAAUUGCAUUGGAUUUUUAAAUUUA